ACCGCGAUGGCUCAGCUGGUAGAGCAUCUGCUCGGUACGCGGAGGGUUGCCGGUUCGACUCCGGCUCGCGGCG
rnacentral:tRNA from 1 species